rnacentral:rRNA from 1 species
AUAAAUGGCCGCSGUACUUUGACCGUGCUAAGGUAGCSCAAUCAAUUGGCCCUUAAUUAGGGUCAGGAAUGAAUGGAGUUACGGGGUUCAGCUGUCUCUUUUCUAAUUAUUUGAAGUUACUAUGUAAGUGAAAAAGCUUAUAAUAAGAAAAAGGACGAGAAGACCCUUAGAGUUUUAUUUAAUUUGACAAUUUUACUUAAAUUAUGCAUAACAUUUUGGUUGGGGCAACAUAGGAGCAGAUAAGUAAACCUCCUAAAUAAAAUUAACCGAUAAUUUUAAAUAUGUAUAAACUACCUUAGGGAUAACAGCAUAAUUUUAGAGAUAAGUUUGUGACCUCGAUGUUGGACUAGGAAACUUGAAGGCUAGCCGUCUUUAAGGAAAGUUCUGUUCGAAC